GUUGUUCGGAAUUACUGGGCGUAAAGGGCGCGUAGGCGGUUCGCUAAGUUGAAUGUGAAAACUCUGGGCUUAACCCAGAGCCUGCAUCCAAAACUGGCGAACUGGAGUACUGGAGGGGAAAGCGGAAUUCCUGGUGUAGCGGUGAAAUGCGUAGAUAUCAGGAGGAACACCGGUGGCGAAGGCGGCUUUCUGGACAGUAACUGACGCUGAGGCGCGAAAGCCGGGGGAGCAAACAGG
rnacentral:rRNA from 1 species